GUGCCAGCCGCCGGGUAAUACCGGCCGCCCGAGUGAUGGCCGAUAUUAUUGGGCCUAAAGCGUCCGUAGCUGGCCAGACAAGUCCGUUGGGAAAUCCACUCGCCCAACGAGUGGGCGUCCGACGGAAACUGCACAGCUUGGGACCGGAAGGCUCGAAGGGUACGUUCGGGGUAGGAGUGAAAUCCCAUAAUCCCGCACGGACCACCGAUGGCGAAAGCACUUCGAGAAAACGGAUCCGACAGUGAGGGACGAAAGCCAGGGUCUCCGACCGGAUUAGAUACCCUGGUAGUCC
rnacentral:rRNA from 1 species